AGUUCGGACUGUAGGCUGCAACUCGCCUACACGAAGUCGGAAUUGCUAGUAAUCGUGGAUCAGCAUGCCACGGUGAAUACGUUCCCGGGUCUUGUACACACCGCCCGUCACACCAUGGGAGCUGGUAACACCCGAAGUCAGUAGUCUAACCGCAAGGAGGACGCUGCCGAAGGUGGGAUUAGCGACUGGGGUGAAGUCGUAACAAGGUAGC
rnacentral:rRNA from 1 species